rnacentral:rRNA from 1 species
GGCGAGUGGCGAACGGGUGAGUAAUACAUCGCAACGUGUUCUGGAGUGGGGGAUAGCCCGGCGAAAGCCGGAUUAAUACCGCAUACGCUCUGUGGAGGAAAGCGGGGGAUCUUUCGGGACCUCGCGCUCAAGGGGCGGCCGAUGGCAGAUUAGGUAGUUGGUGGGGUAAAGGCCUACCAAGCCGACGAUCUGUAGCUGGUCUGAGAGGACGACCAGCCACACUGGGACUGAGACACGGCCCAGUCUCCUACGGGAGGCAGCAGUGGGGAAUUUUGGACAAUGGGCGCAAGCCUGAUCCAGCAAUGCCGCGUGUGUGAAGAAGGCCUUCGGGUUGUAAAGCACUUUUGUCCGGAAAGAAAACCUCUGGGUUAAUACCCUGGGGGGAUGACGGUACCGGAAGAAUAAGCACCGGCUAACUACGUGCCAGCAGCCGCGGUAAUACGUAGGGUGCGAGCGUUAAUCGGAAUUACUGGGGCGUAAGCGUGCGCAGGCGGUGAUGUAAGACCCGAUGUGAAUCCCC